rnacentral:rRNA from 1 species
ACUACGGGUGGCUGCAGUGAGGAAUAUUGGUCAAUGGCCGUAAGGCUGAACCAGCCAAGUAGCGUGAGGGAAGACUGCCCUAUGGGUUGUAAACCUCUUUUAUGCGGGGAUAAAGGUGUCCACGUGUGGAUGUUUGCAGGUACCGCAUGAAUAAGGACCGGCUAAUUCCGUGCCAGCAGCCGCGGUAAUACGGAAGGUCCGGGCGUUAUCCGGAUUUAUUGGGUUUAAAGGGAGCGUAGGCCGGUCUUUAAGAGUGCCGGGAAAUUUGGUGGCUCAACCAUAAGAGUGCGGGGCGAACUGGAGACCUUGAGUGCGCGGAAGGCAGGCGGAAUGCGUGGUGUAGCGGUGAAAUGCUUAGAUAUCACGAAGAACCCCGAUUGCGAAGGCAGCCUGCCGCAGCGCUACUGACGCUGAAGCUCGAAAGCGCGGGUAUCGAACAGGAUUAGAUACCCCUGUAGUC